AGUUCUUGGAAUCUAUGUUUCUGAUAAUAUUCGUGAUAAAUUUGGUUUGAAUUUAAUCCGACUGUUUCGGAUCAAUAUCAAUUUGAUCUAAGCGUUAAAAAUCUGAUAGGAUGUUUGAACAUAGUUUGCGUCAAUGUAUGUAUUUAGAUAAGUGGGGAAAUUUGAGAACUUCGAUAAAUAUGAGAUUCUAAAGAGGAAAUUAUCCGCCAGGCGCCAAUACGAAAACAUGAUAUUUGUUUUUUAAGUAUA